GGCUGGUCCGAGUGCAGUGGUGUUUACAACUAAUUGAUCACAACCAGUUACAGAUUUCUUUGUUCCUUCUCCACUCCCACUGCUUCACUUGACCAGCCUUUA
ensembl:Y_RNA Y_RNA Y RNA